GCAUAUCAAUAAGCGGAGGAAAAGAAAAUAACAAUGAUUCCCCUAGUAACGGCGAGUGAAGAGGGAUUAGCUCAAAUUUUAAAUCUGUUGGGUUUAUCUCACCAGAGUUGUAAUUUGUAGAAGCGUUUUCUGCUUCCCGUCAGGUCUAAGUCCUUUGGGAUAAGGCAUCAUUGAGGGUGGGAAUCCCGUUCGAUCUGGGUCGGGUUGCUUUACGAUACGCUUUCAAAGAGUCAAGUUGUUUGGGAAUGCAGCUUAAAAUGGGAGGUAAAUUUCUCCUAAAGCUAAAUAUUGGCGAGAGACCGAUAGCGAACAAGUACCGUGAGGGAAAGAUGAAAAGCACUUUGAAAAGAGAGUUAAAUAGUACGUGAAAUUGUUGAAAGGGAAACGAUUGAAGCCAGUCGUACCGACGGAGAAUCAACCUUUGGAAUGCGAAUCGAGGUAUUCGAAGAGUUUAAAAGCCUUCGUGUGCUUUCGCAUUCGUGCUUCAUGGGUGCACUUCUUCGUAUGGUAGGUUAACAUCAAUUUUGGACGUUACAGAAUGAUUGGGGGAAUGUAGCUUCGAUUUUUCGAAGUGUUAUAGCCCUUGGUAGAUGUGACGACCGGGAUUGAGGAUUGCAACGAAUGCUUUCGGGCUAUCCGUCUGACCUCUGGUGGUUGCUUUGGGGUCGAAAGCGUGCUUACGACUUUAAAGUUGGCUAUCAAAAGGCUAGAACGUGAUUAAAUUCGUUAAGGAUGUUGACGUA
rnacentral:rRNA from 1 species